AUUGUUUCGAACCACUCUUUUUUAAUUAAGAAGGGUUGGAUCGGUACUGAGGGUAUUUGCCAUUAACCGUGGCUCCCUCGAAAUACAUUAGCGCAUCCAUUUGAUAGGCAAGAACGGACGAAAGCUCACCUUUCGCUCUCUCUUCCCUGCCGGGUUUUGAUAAUAUCAGGACUUCGGAGGCGGAGAAAGGGCAAGAGCUGGACGCAACGAUCUUGCUGUUUGGCGUGCUUCUGAACCCCGCCCAUGCUUCUUCGGAAGACGGGAUUUUAAUAAUU
rnacentral:misc_RNA from 1 species